CCGCCCGCUGCCGCUGCCUGCCGAGACGCCGGGGCCGCUGCGGAGCUGCCCCGGAGCGGUGCGGGGCUCGGCGGCCGCCGCCGAAAGGAUCGGGACCAAUUUGCUGGCCAUGCUGCACCCUUUUCUUCAUCCUAAAAUGCUCCUUGGAUGCUAACUGGCAGCUGUGGCUUCGGAAGGAUUGCAAGUCUGGGGGCAAUGCAUAUGGGGAGCACCGACGUGAAGAAAACUUCCCGAAGGUCAUGCAAAGGCAAACUCGGCUAGUGGGGAAUCGCCUUCCAGAAUAGACUGCAACCUCAGCCUUCCACUGAAAGAGUUGCACAAGGUGAUGGCCGCGCCGCGGCGGCCGGCAGCGCUCCGCACGGACCAGGCGCGGCGCCGGCGC